UUAAAAGUACUUUUUGAAUAUAGAUAAAUUCUAAUUAAUCCUAAAAUGCUAUCGCUGUAUUUAUGAUCAAUACCUAGUUUUAGCGGUUGCCAUAACCCUAAAUCCAUGAUGAGUGGCAAGCGCCACUCUUGUAGUAACCGCCCACCAUUUUUCAAGGGUUGGUGGCGGGCGCCACCUUCCUUUUGGACCAAUGUGUCGGGCGCCACAUCCUUUGGAUAAUGGGCGCCACAAGCCCAUUUGCUUUGGUGGCCCAUUAUCCCAUUGGAAGCCUCAUUUUC
rnacentral:lncRNA from 1 species